rnacentral:rRNA from 1 species
GACAGAGGGUGCAAACGUUGUUCGGAAUUACUGGGCGUAAAGCGCGUGUAGGCUGCUUCGCAAGUCGGAUGUGAAAGCCCUGGGCUCAACCCAGGAAGUGCAUUCGAAACUGCAGAGCUGGAGUCCUGGAGAGGAAGGCGGAAUUCCAGGUGUAGCGGUGAAAUGCGUAGAUAUCUGGAGGAACAUCGGUGGCGAAGGCGGCAUCCUGGACCGGUAUUGACGCUGAGGCGCGAAAGCCAGGGGAGCAAACGGG